UUUCACAUUAAUUAAAAUUCAGACCAUCUCUCUCUCUCUGUUCUCUUUUCUCCAAACCCUAUCUUUCUUUCUAGAUCUUGCAAGAUCCGAUAGUGGUGCGAUGGUGUUCGGGGGAGACGGUGGGGAGUGUGACGAUGGUCGGCGGUGGUUGGAAUACAGCGGCAACAAACGAACGGCGGCGGUGGGCUUCACGGUAAACAACGACAGCAAUGAACGGCAGCGGUGGGCUUCACAGUAAAACAAACCGUUAAUCCAGCAAGAAGUAUUGACACUGCAACAACGAACGGCAGUCGGGCUGAAUUUUCCGGCAAGAAGUUUGACAUCGGCGGUGGUGUUUCAGCUCAGGCAUCCGGCGGAGCAAGCAUCUUUUCACUCCGGUAAGCCUAACCCCUCAUCAUUCUUUAUUUUCUUUCAAAUCUGUUAAGAUAAAUUUGGUUCCGGCUGGGUUCGUGGUUUCAGGUGGUGGUUCUGUUAAGGCAGUAGUGGUGGUGGUUGUCUCCGACGACGUCAGUUAGGAGUUGGGGUGAUAGAUCAUCAUUAAUUUCAACUCUCAAUAUUCUUAUUAAUAUUGUAUUUCUUUUAUUUCAUUCGUUGAUGUUGAUCUCCUUUCUUACUAAAACAGAGUGUGGGUCUCCGAUUUUGGCCCUUUUAGGUCAAGAUUGUGUAUCUUUGUUGUACAAUUUGUAUGUAUAUUAG
rnacentral:lncRNA from 1 species